rnacentral:rRNA from 1 species
CGGGGGGGGGGCAAGCGUUGUUCGGAAUUACUGGGGCGUAAAUCGCGCGCAGGCGGCCCGGCAAGUCCUACGUGAAAUCCCACAGCUCAACUGUGGAACUGCGUGUGAUACUGCCAGGCUUGAGUCCCGGGAGAGGAGAGUGGAAUUCCCAGUGUAGCGGUGAAAUGCGUAGAUAUUGGGAGGAACACCGGUGGCGAAGGCGGCUCUCUGGACCGGUACUGACGCUGAGGCGCGAAAGCUAGGGGAGCAAACGGGAUUAGAUACCCCGGUAGUCCUAGCUGUAAACUUUGAGCACUUUGUGUGGCGGGUAUCGACCCCUGCCGUGCAGAAGCUAACGCAUUAAGUGCUCCGCCUGGGGAGUACGGUCGCAAAGGCUG